UUCCAGUACUUUACACUCCUAGUUUUCAAUCAGCUGGCUCUAAAUACAGUCGACUCAAGGGGAAUAUCAGUGUAUAUCUAAUCGUUAGUGUAUAGUGAAAUGUUUUCCUCAUCCAAGUAACACGGGCUUCGUGAAUGAAGGGAUUUCAUUGAAUUUGGUACAGUACAAAGAAGCUGCAGCUGUUGAGAGCAACACGUCUUGCUCUUCCCAAGGUCAACCCUUAACUGAAAUAAGCAAGCUCCUGAUGAUAAAGGUGGGCUACUGCCGACGAUGCUGUUCAUGCCCAGGAGGUUUCCAGGUGGACAGCAAACAGCGCCUCCAUCCCCCAACCCCCUGAGAUGAAGACAGCCCCACCCCACCCUCCCCCCUUCACAACCGAACGGAGUAGUAGUACAUCAAGUACCACCUGUUCUCGGUACUUUUUCGCCAACGACUUUCCUUCUUUUGGACGUUGCUUCGGGGAAGAUGAACCCAACGACCCUGGAUACUGCAAUUCCCAGGCAGCUGAGUCGAGCAUUCUAAAGAUGAAUUCCUGGUCAAAAUUUAAUCCGCACCGUUGAGCUUUAGAAGUUAUGUAUAUGAAACGUUUGUUCAAGGAGGCAUGAAAUGAAGUGGCUAGCACCAAAAUAAUUACCAAUGUUGCAGAGAUAAAACCUGGUGGAAUGGUGGUGAGAAAAGAGCAGGUAUACAGGUCAGUGAUGAAAUAUCUGAAGAUGUCACCAAAGUGGGAUGAAUAUAUGAAAGACUAGAUUUAGAAAUGUCUAAAUAUUUUACUUAAUGUGUUCUUGGUUUACUCUCUGCAACCACAAAGACCAUAAGAAAAGCAAGAAUUUUGGGAGAAAUGGAAUAUAAUGUUGAGGAUGUGAUAAAAGGUGCAGCUUCAGUGAAAACCCUAAGAUGAAGAAGUAGCUCUGACUUUGUCAAAGCCAAGAAUGAAAGUUGCCUAAAAAUAGUUUGACAAGCCCAGAGAGUUCAUAACAAAAACUACAACAGAACCAUUUAAGAGAAGCACAGAAUGAAUUGAAGAAUUGCAUGGAUAUACCAUGGGAGGCAAAUAUGGCACCAAAAACUGAUAUGGCAACUGCUGAAAUGAUACAGAAGCAUACAAGAAAUACUUUACGUCACAUCAGAUAUCUCAAAAGGAGCCAACAGACCACCUGGAGUGAAGAAUGCAUUGGGAAAGUUUCUCAAUAGGCCUAAUGAUGCCAAUACUUUACAUCAGUGAUGAUCAUGACGACUAUGAUUUUAGAGGAAUGUUCAGUACUGUUUUUUGGAAUGAAGCUGUAAAGACAUGUCACCUCCAAGAAAUAAGUUUACAAAAGCAAAUAUUCCAAGGUUUUGAUGUCUUGCUGGUGGAUGGAGUUGUCACAGAUGGGUGUCAGGAUAAAGUUGUACACAGGAGCCAGUAUCACCUUACAUUCUGGGAACUGGACCAAGGAGGACAACAAAUCACCUCUUCCUGACUUUGUGCACACGGGAGUGUCCAUUCAGUGUUUUUUAUGUAAAAAAAGUUGUUAACAUGGAUCAUGGACCUCAUCAAGCACUUAUUUUUCCUGCUAAUCUACAUGCAAGACGGAGAAAGCUCAAGAAAUCUUUCAAGAUUGACACAGAUAGUAUUAUUCAUUUUCCUAUACUCAGUUUUUUCCAUCUGUCCAACCGGCUGUGGCCUUCGUGCAUGGCAACACUGCAUCCCAGGCUUUAAAUAGUUGCACUAUGUGUAAGUUUUAGAUAAAUAAAAGGAUAUCUGGGUGUACAUUUGCAACUGAAAAGUGUUUUAAUAAUUUACUGUAUUAGAAAUUACACCAUAUAAUUUGAAAUAGGAUAUUGUUAUCAUUGUUAAAUGUAAGCUGCCUUUUCGGGGUGGCGAAUGGAACAGCCGGACACAAUGGCAGGAAAAUUGCUUCUUUUGCUGUUCACUACUGCAAGAUGUCAACUUUAUUGGACCACACCUACUCUGCUACUAAGCUACAUGUUACUUCAUUACACAUAAGUAUAUCAAUAUAUACUUUUAGCUUUCAUGGUGCGUUUUAGCCAAAUACAAUAUGACGUAACAUAAUUUAGCAUCUGUUUAAUGGAAUUUGCGUCUGGCUGUUCCAUUCGCCACCCCAAAAAGGCAGCUUACAUUCAACAAUAAUAACGACAUCCUAUUUCGAAUAUUAACGGUGUAAUUCGCAUACAGUAAAUUAUUAAAACACUUUUCAGUUGCAAAUGUACACCCAGAUAUCCUUUUAUUUACCUAAAACUUACACAUAGCGUAACUACUGAAAGCCAGGGACACAGUGUUGCCAUGCGCGAGGACCACAGGCGGGUGGACAGAUGGAAAAAAAAAAAAACAAGAGUAUAGGCAUCCUUGGUACAUGGAGUCAUGCACUUACCUUCCAAAGAAAAUGACUUGGCAUCAAAAACUAGGAUAACCCCAGUUGCAGACUGUUAAAAAGUGGUUCCCCUUGAAGAGAAGUGCACCCACUCCAUUUAUAACCAGCAAAUCAUUGGUGAUCGAGUCGACAUCUAUUAGUUAAUACUGUCAUCAAGAAUAGCACUAAAAGUAGGCAACCCGGAACAGUAUAUUCAUAGUAAAGCUUGACAAUUGGGGCUGGAGCCUUUUUGCACCCCCAGUAUUCAUGAAAUCCUGAUUUUAUGACAUUGUGCAUCAGGGGAAAACUAACUACAGGACCCAUCUGAGAACUAUGCCCAAAGAAGUAGCAAUGAACAGAAACUCUAUGUUGUGGUUAAGGCUAAAAAACCAGGAUGUCUACAGGACUGGAGCCUUUUUUGCACCCCCGGUAUUCAUGAAAUCCUGAUUUCAUGACAUUGUGCAUCAGGGGGAAACUAACCUCAGUACCCAUCUGAGAACUAUGCCCAAAGCAGCAGCAAUGAACAGAAAUGCCCAUGUUAUGGUUGAGGCUAAAAACUCAGGAUGUCUACAAGUGUAUGCAGACACCUUUACCAACAUAUGCCAUUUAGAAAUUCAAAAGUAUAAUUUAAUCUGUAAGCUGGAUCUACAAAGGAAAUAAUAAUGGAGAAUCCUAAUUAGCCUUUUAGAAUAUAAGUAUAAUUACCUGUAAGUUGGCACUGCAAAGGAAACUAAGAAGGGGAAUCCUCAUUUGAUGUCAACUACGAAUGUCAACAGUAAGAAAACAGCAAAAAGGCACUCGUGACUAUACAAGUACCAGUAGAAUAUUGGCACUCACAUGGAACGAUAAAUAUAGAUUUGCUUUCUAUAUUUAUGAAGAACUUUGGGGCAUAAAGCUGAUGAAGGCUUGUUGUCACCUCUUUCUUCUCUAUAUUUAGCUAAUUAAUUUUAUCUUUAAAAUACUCUAGACCUGCUCAUGCAGGUGGUGGAAGUCAAUUCAGAAUGCUGUUGCACAGGAUGCUGCAACUCCAAGUGAAAAAAAGAGUGUCAAGAAGGAUAUUAAUCUCACACUACUUCCUGUAUUUGAUUGCAGAUUUACCAACAAUCCUCCUAUGUGGAGUAGUGACAGGUCCCUCGUAAAGCACAGGAGCAACAACCUGAGGACUCCAUUCAAGAUUUAUCACAGAAGUUUGUUUUCCUGAGUAUCUUUACCUGCAUUCCACAGAAAAUUAUAGGGCAAUAAAAACCAGGAUUCCUCCAUCAGCAGACAUUGUCAUUGAAGCUUUUUAGGCUGAUGAGAGCCUAUAUCCAUUUCAAGAAACACCAGCAAAUCAAAGACAAGGGCCAGCUUUUGAAAAUAAGGCCUUUUGUUAAUGCCCUCACCAAGAACUUUCUAAUUACUGGGCAACAAAAACCAGAAUUCCCCCGAUUGCAGACAUCGUCAUUGAAGCUUUUAGUGACGAGAGCCUACUUUGAUUGACUGACUGAUUUAUAGACUUCUGGCACACCUGCAUCCACUUCCAAGGACACCAACAAAUCAAAGGCGAGAGAGAGUUUCUGAUAAAAAGUCCCGUUUUAAUGCCGUCACCAAGAACUUUUUAAUUACUGGGCAACAAAAACCAGUUUUCUCCCAAUUGCAGACAUUGUCAUUAAAGCUCUUUAGGAUUAGGAUGAUGAGAGCCUACAUCCACUUCAAGGAUAUCAGCAAAUCAAAGACAAAAUCGACAAAAAAGUUUCUGAAAAAUAUCCCUGUUGUUAUGCUCUCACAGCCACCAAGACCUUUUUAAAUUACUAGGCAACAAAAGUCACGAUUCCUCCCAAUUACAGACAUGUCAUUGAAGCUAUUUAGGCUGAUGAGAGCCUGCAUCCACUUCAAGGACACCAGCAAAUCAAAGACAAGAGACAGUUUCUGGGAGUGAGAGAAAAACUUCCAGAGUCACACUUUGCCCCGACAUUUACAGGAGUUAUUUGCAACACAACCAACCAGCCCGAGAAGAGUCUACUUGAGACUCAGAGGUCUGGAAAAACUAACCCCUAUUAAUAAUAAUAAUAAUUGCAACUCAACCAGCUGUUGUCCACAAGAUUAGCUAAUUCAGCUGUAGUGUGAAUGACAAACCAUUUAUUUAAAAAUCACAAUGGACCACAAACAUUAGCUGAAGCUGAAGCUCAUUGCCAUACUGAUAGAUGUAUAUCUCGUUACCUAUACUGUAUAAAAUGAUUAGUUUGGUCUGUUAAAUGAAAGAACUCAAAUUGAAAGAUAUUUGCUAGGACAUCCUUUUACUUUAAUUUGACAAUUACCAUGUACAUACUUUCAAUGUAAACAUUUUAUAGACUUAUCUUCAUAUUUCCUCCCAUGCAAGCUCAUACCAGAAAGUCUGACCCCUAAAUGGUGCAUAUCACAAUGUCUGACCCCCAAAUGGUGUAGAGCAGGGGUGUCAAACUCAAAUCCUUUCGAGGGCUAAUUAUGCACUUGGUUAUGGACUCGAGGGCUAUCAAAGAUUUGGUAUUACUUAUUCCUUAUGACUCAUUAAAUAAGAUUUGCAAUAAAAGAGCCUUAUUGCCACCAAUUAUAUGAAAUAUAUGUGUCAUAUGAAUGAAAGGUAAAACUUAUGUGUCGAUUUAAAACUGUUACAGUAGCUCAAGUUAAAAAAUCUCUUGGCACCUCACGGGCCAUGAGUUUGACACCCCUGGUGUAGAGUGUAAUUAGAUGACAGUUUGACCCCCAAAUGGUACAAUAUCAAGUGGAAUUAAACGAUAAUGUAUCAGUUGUAGAAGUGUCUCUCUUCAUUUUCCCAAAACUUUCAAACGAUAAAUGGAAGGCUUCCUUUUAAAAUAAUUCACCUGUUAAAGCGUGAGAAUUUCUUUCAAUUACUCGGAUAGCUCCUUCUUUAUAGGACCUAUAAUCAUUUUUAGUACACUAGAGAAAUUUUUCUUUAGCUACUUUGAACGGUCUACUUUUUCAUGAUAAGACAAAUAAAAGUAGAAGUGAAACACAAAUUUGUAGUAUUGUACGUACUUGAUUCAUCUAUACCAGAGUAAUUCAUAUAUGAAAAUAGUAGAGCAACAUGUACCUGAGG